GACAGAGAAUCGAUAAGGUAAACAGAUAGAAACACAGACAAGUCCAAGUAAUUUAAAAGCUUUGAGAAUUAAGGUUGGCCCGGUCAGUGGAGAAAAAGGGAUUAAGGUGACUGGAGACUAGACGACGAGACGAUUAACGACAAUCAGAUAAUCAACUAAUAGAAACAAGAGAAAGAGAAACGUCAACAAACCAACUAAAAGAGAAUUCGAAUUUUUGGUUUUCUUUUUUCUCUUUUUAUCACUUACAUGAGUUACUUUUUCCUUCCAAUUCUAAAAACAAUUAGUUCUCUUCUUCUUUAACCUCAAGCAUUUUCUUCAUCUUGAUUCUUGUGGUUGAUUCUCAGAUAAAUUAACAUCUUUCACUUGUUCAAUUCUAAUUAAUCAUCAACAAUCAAUCAGCAUUCUGAUUGUUUUUUAUUUGUUUUCUUGUUCUCAUCAAUUAACUUGUUUGGUUCAUUUUUUAUUCUGUGUCGUUUUGUCAUUGGAAACUAUUAACUCUUGUUGUUUUUUUUUUAAUUCUUACCUGAUAAUCUAGUUAAUUGUUCCGGAAACAAGGCCAAGGUUCAUUCAAAAUUCAAAUUGUUUACUAUUAAUGUUUAAUCUUUUCAUCUUCUUCUACAAUUGUAUUUACCUCGACCUGAUUUAAUUUGUUUUGCAAUUUAUAACAAUUAGAAAGAAACAAACUACCUGAUUAUCUUUCAUUCUAAAUCAUCAAUUGGAAAAUUCAAUAGUUAUCAAUGUCAACUGGUUAAAUUUGAUGAUGUCAAAUUUUAAAUCUGUUGAUUUUUUUAGCAUUAAUUAAUCUGGUCUCCAUUGGAUGGAGCUGCUUGUAUCAAAGUGGACCAAGUGAUUGAUUAAAGUUGCAAGUUUGAUUUUUGUUUUGAAUGUUAAUUGUUUCGUUUUAACACAAACAUUAGAUAUUUGAGACAAAAUUAAUGACCGGUAAAAGAUAAUUAUGAUUAAGAUGAAAGAUUAAAGGUUCAUCUUUCAUUUAAAUCUUUUUUUCUUCUUUCCUUUUCCAUCCUCAUCACUCUUCACAUCAUCAUCUUCAUCACCAACAACAUCUUCUUCUUAUUUUUCAUCCUCAUCUUUAAAAUGGUGGUCAAACAAAUCGGAAAAGAGCGAGAGAGAUAAACAAAAUAUCCAAGGCCUAAGACACUUUGUUUCUCAAUAGAUUAAUUUCAUUGAUGGAUUUUGUGAUUAACCCUUGAUCUCUAUAGUUAUUUUCACUCUAUGAUUAACAAUCAAUCUUUAUCUGUUGAAUCAACUUAAUCACCAUCAGUAAAUCAUCAACAUCAAUUACAGUAAAAUACAUAACCACAUAGAGAUGAAGGAUAACCAAACAAAAUACACAGAAAAAUGAUCAAGGAGCUGAAAGGAAAACAAAUUGUUCUGUUGAUUAGGAUGAUGAUUGAAUUACGUUUAAAUUAUGUUUUGGUUAAAUUUUGAUGAGAAAAACGAAAAUGCUGAUGAAUGCUUUGAUUCUAACCUUCAUCUACUCAAUCAUAAUUCAAAUGAUGGCUCAAGAUAUCAGACGAAGAUAAAAAGAUGACAAAAUGCUGAUGAUUAUGUUUAUAAUUAGUAAUAAUUACGGGCAAUCAAAUCGUUUGAGAUAAUUGUUACAAUCACGGAGAAAAUGAUUAGAAUCAAAGGGGAAAAAAAUUCAAGUCGAAAUAACAAAAUCUUAAUACGAUUCAAGUCUCUGUGAUAUUCAACAUAAUAGUUAAUUGUAAACAUUAAAUUACAAUCAAGUUAUAAUUUACAUUUUGAUGACGAUUAACGUAAAAAGGACAUCAAUUCAUAGUAAUCAUCAUAAUCAACUUCAUUUGAAUCAUUCAAGAAAAAAGGACUCAAAAGGAACCAGGGAAAAGUAGAAAGAAAUCUACAUUGAGAUUGUUCCAUCAAUGGGCUGCAUUCAUUUUAAUGGGAGUUUUCAUCCGAUAAAAUGGUUCUCUCUCUCAACCACCCAUUCAACAACAACAACAACAACAAGGAGGAUGAUAAAAGGCAAUGGUAAAUGGGAGAGAACGACCAAGAGAAGAUGAUAAAAAAGGAGAAGAUGAAGAUGAAGAAAGGUAAGAAAAGAAAGAGUCUUAGAAGAAAGAAAAAGCAAUAAGUGUGGCGCCAACAAGUAUUCACAGAAUUGAGGUGAAGUUUAGUAACUUGUGAAGCUUUUUCAUUCAUUCAACUUCAUUCAUUCGGAGAAAACAUCAUACAGUUUUACAAUCGACCUUUUCUUCAUCUUUUUGGUUUCUUCUCUCUUUUUACUACUUCUUCUCUCUUAUUUUCUUUCUCCAUCUUUCAUAGGAAAACGAUUUUUAAUUAUACAUCCAAUCUCUUUUUUUUAUGGAUCUUUUAUUCAUAUUUUGUUUUCUUCUUCUUCUUCUUCUUCUUUACCUUUGCAGUGAAUUUGGACUCACCCAGAAUAAUAGUCAUGACUUUUGUUCAUCUUCCAUUUGCUUUUCGAUUCAUGACGAUGAUUAUCAUCUCUUGAGAUUCUUAUAUUAAUAUAUUAAUUUUUUCGUCUUCUU